CUCUUAGGGCUUAGUACUGACUGGUGUGUGGUUAAGAGGAAGAAAUUUCUUAAGCAAGGUUUUAAGAUAUGGCAUUUGGAAAAUUAAGAAAAAGUCAUGAAUGGUCUCUUUUACUUCACUGGCCAAAAAAUAAAUUAUACAAUAAUGGUAUUAUUUGUGUAGUUUUCAGUCCUGAAACUCUGGGCAUACAAAGAACUUUUAACUACAAUUUGAUUGACAGAUGGACCAAAGACCUUAACAGACACCUCACCAAAGAAGAUGUGCAGAUGACAUAGAAAAAGACACUCCGCAUCAUAUGUCAUCAAGGAAAUGCAAAGGGAAACAAUAAUGAGGUCCCGCUACACACCUAUUAGAAUGGCCAAAAUCUAGAAUACUGAGAGCAUCGAAUGCUGGCUUCUCCGAGAGCACUCUCUCAAUCAAGAGUUCCCAUCUCAGGAUCUGCUCCUACAAGACCCAACUUAGGAUAGUAAUGAUGUUUAUCACUUAUUUAGUGAAUAUGUGUCAAGUGCCAGACAUGCCUACAUUCAACAUGCAGUGGCAAACAAGACAAACAUUUUACAAGACAAACAUUUUACCCAGUUUCACAGGGCUCAGAGGCUUGUGGUCUCACUAGUGUUAUUUACUAGGUAUUUUAUUAAUCAAAAAUGAUAGUAGUUUGUAAAAAUACCUUUGUUAAUGUCAUAAUUAUUCUGACAUUAGCUUCUGAAUUUAUGGUAAUCUGAUCAUAGAAUAUGUCAUAUAAGAUCUGCUUUAGGAAAAAUGUAUUAGGAGCUUAAAACAUUUCAUACGUAUUCUAGAAAUAUUCAGAGAGAAAGUAUAUUACCUGACUCCUCAACCUGGUUUUUACCAUACUUUUCUAGUCUUGUUCCAUAUAUUAUGGGAUCCUUGGGGUGUUGCUUCACCAGCCAGGAGCCACUGUGGACAGUGGUGCCUUUGCCUGAGUUUUCUUCAGGCCCACUGGGCCCACUCAACCUGGUGGACUGUGCUUGGUUUGCGCUACUGGCCUGGAUCCCAUGCCUGCCAAGGGUGAGUGGAGUGCUGAGGGGUAUGUGAGCAAGCAUGGGGUCCAGCCACUGCACACAGCCAGGUUCCUUGAGGGCUAUGGUGGGGUGGGCAGCUCCAGGCACUGGCAUGGGCUCUGGCUCCCUGCAAGGCUGUGGCUGGACCAGGCGUAACGCUAGCAGCUUCCAUGGCUGGCACCGGAGAAACACAUUGUCACCCAGAAGCUUGGAGAUGCCAGGAACGAAAGAAUUCCAAAGAGGGUGUCACAGCCCUGGCUUGGAGAACUCCUAGGUCUGGGCUUCCUGAAGGGCUGCAGCUCUUCUCUCCUUCUUGUCCCCAGUAAUGUGGCAAGCAAGGGGUGUGUUUCAACUCUGUUGACUUCCAGGGCCACCGACAGUGCAGAGGUGGCCAGAUCCGCAGCCACAGCUUGGACGGCUGCUGCUGCACCCAGGAGGGCAGGUCUCUUGCCUGCUGUCUACCCGCAAGAGCAGAGGGAUGCCUGGGUCUGCAGGGGCAACUAGGUGCCUGCAACUGCGCCCAGGGAUCGAGAGGCUCCAUCCUGCCAGCUCGGAAGGGGGUAGGGCUUCCUCCUGUUCCUGGCUCCCACCAGCUGGGUACACAUGAAGCCCAAGCUGCACCUCCCCUACUGCUGCUGGCAUCAUGGCAGCAGCCGCGUCUGGGGCCACCACUGCCAUCACAUAGAUGCCAUAUUGCUACUCAUUGAAAUUACUAAAGAGGUGUCUUUUAAAAUACUGUUUGGCUGGUUUCUUCAUUAAAUUAUUUCUUCAAUCA
rnacentral:lncRNA from 1 species